UUUGCAGCAUGAAAACUAAUAGUAAUAUUGGAAAUUCAGUUUCAGGUUUCAGUUCUUCAGUUUGCUGGUUUUCUCUUGCCAUGCUACGUAAUGGCCAGAUCUUGGUACAUACAAAGCCGUAGGAGACAGGUUUAAGUGAACUAUAUUGGCCAAAUCAUGGAUAGCUGGUUGUCUAUUGGUACCUGAAGAGGGCGUGCUGCUUAUGGAUCAGACUGUCUGGAGUAAUUGAUGUGGAGAACUGCAUUUCAACUGAAGGUGUAGUUGUAGUCAUUCCACUCUUACUCUGACCUUGGCCAAAAAUAGAAGGAAACGAAAACCCUAAAAAUGGAAGGCAAAAACUGCUACAAGUCAGAAAUGACAUGGAAAAGGAGAGAAAUUGACUAAUUAAUGUAAUGUGAGGGGAAUAUGAGAGACAAAAUUGAUGUAAAUGUGUGUUGAUGGUUCUUUUUUUCUUUUUCUUUUUCUGUAAGUUCCAAUUGAUCACAAAUCAACCGUUGUGGUUGUUCUGUAGUUAGGCUACUACGGCUAGUGAUCUCAGUGUGGGCUCUGAUAUUUAGGAAUGAAAAGUGUAAAUAAUUUCCAUAUCAAUGAAUUGCUCGAGUAGGCAUUUCGCUUGCUGGGGCUUUAUGAACUUUAUGGACAUGGAAAAACCUAGAGGUCCCUCCUUUUGUGGUCUAA